CCUACGGGUGGCAGCAGUCGGGAAUAUUGCGCAAUGGAGGAAACUCUGACGCAGUGACGCCGCGUAUAGGAAGAAGGUUUUCGGAUUGUAAAGUAUUGUCGUGAGGGAAGAAAUUGACAGUACCUCAGGAGGAAGCUCCGGCUAACUAUGUGCCAGCAGCCGCGGUAAUACAUAGGGGGCAAGCGUUAUCCGGAUUUAUUGGGUGUAAAGGGUGCGUAGACGGGAAAACAAGUUAGGUGUGAAAUCCCUGGGCUUAACUGAGGAACUGCAGCGAAAACUGAGUUGCUUGAGUACAGGAGAGGAAAGUGGAAUUCCUAGUGUAGCGGUGAAAUGCGUAGAUAUUAGGAGGAACACCAGUGGCGAAGGCGACUUUCUGGACAGUAACUGACGUUGAGGCUCGAAAGCGUGGGGAGCAAACAGGAUUAGAUACCCGUGUAGUC
rnacentral:rRNA from 1 species